GGCAGGGCCGCAGGGCGCCCGUCGCUCCCAGACAGCGGGACUGGGCAGCUGGCGCCCCGACGGCAUGCCGGAGAAGCGGCUCUCGGCCGACCCGCCAAAUAUUACAGAAGAAGAAUUUGAAAAUUUUUUGGCAACAGAUGGCUUCCUUGUGGAUUACUUUAAUGAGUUCUUAAGCCUUCCCACCUUCUCAGAGGCAAUUAGGUUCAAUGUGGACUACGGAGUUUUUGAGGUGAUCAACAAUGCACCACAGCUUCUGGAAAAGCAACUGAAAAGAAUUCUGCAAAAUCAGCAACCUCGAAAUCCCAUCUAUGAUGUUAUAAGGAAAGGAAAAAGUGAUGCUAAACCUUUUCAAAAGAGUAUCUCCCGUGAAGAUGAGACCAUUAACAUCAACUACACCAUCAUGUGCCUCAACCGUGAACAAGGUAUUAAGUGGAUCAAAAGGAAGAGACUUCCAGCAUUUCUGGAAAGUGAUUGCUACUUUGAAUACAGGUUAGCCAAACUGAUAUCGCAAGCAACAUGGAGCAAUUCAGGCAUAAACUUCAUAGUGGGUUCAAGCUUCUCCCCCUGGAUCCUGAGAAAACCGCCCACUCCACCUCCACCUACUGAUGAAGAGGACAACCUCAUGAUUAUGAAAAAGUUCUAUGUUUCUCUUGGCCAGGCCUCCUAUACUCAAACGCAAGAUUGGUUUACACUGGCAAAGCAAUGUCAGCAAACAGUAACGACCUUUUCGCUACCCUGCUGUGUACCCCACCACAAAACUGCAUCACCAACUCUUUCUUCUGUGUCUGAGAAUUUAAUCUUCGAUGAUGGAGUUCACCCCAGGACAAUAAAGAGCCCAACUAAAACCACCGGAAUGAUUCCUGAGAUGGAAGAGGAAGAAGAAGGGUCCGUAUCAGUGAAAGACACGCCUUCCCAAGCGCUUCUGAGAGUAUACCUGGAAAGAAAAGAUGAACAGGACAAACAAAAGACCGUGCAUUUCUCGUCAUUUGAAGAAUUUCUCAACGCCUAUGUCAUCUUCAUCCUGAGAGAAGCCAUCGAGAACAUCACAGGCCAUUCCUUUAGCGGCAUCCCCGGCUACAUCAACUUCUACAGCAUCACCCAGGUGAUAUUCGAUAAAGUGGAGCCCAGCAAGAAGACCGUAAGUUCACCCCAACUUGAAACAACAAAGGAAAUCUCAGAAGAGAAAUUGGAAAAAGUAAGUUUAAGUUCAAAGAGUGAGAGCAUCGGGCCAGAGGGCAGGGCCGACUGGUGUAUUUCUCACAGAACCUAUGACAUUGGCAACAGAAGGGAAUUUGAAAGAUUUAAGAAGUUUCUAAAGGGAACAUUGGGAGAAAGAUACUGGUGGCUGUGGAUGGACAUUGAGAGGUUAAAAGUUCUUAAGGACCCUGGAAGACAUCAAAGACAUCUUGAGAAAAUGAAGAAGUGCUACCUUGUGAGCAGCGGGGAGCGUUACCUUUCUACAGAGAUCCUCUCCAAGUUUAAACUGCUCAAUGGGUCCCGGUGGACAGAAGAACAUUUGAAAAACAUUCAGAUUGAAGUCAUAAAACCCCUGCUUCUGUACUGGGGACCAAGAUUUUGUGUAACUCAUUCGUUAUCAACAAAAAGUGCCAGCACGGAACUGAAAUUCUGGCGCCUUCGCCAAGAGAAACCCAGGAAGGAUGUUGACCCUUUCCCACAGAUGGCAACCCUCUUGCCCUUAAGACCAAAGUCUUGCAUUCCCCAGGUCCCCGAGGUCCAGGGAGAAGAAAUCAGUUUAUCGCCACUAUCUAAAUCGCCUAAGAAAUUGUCAAGAGUAAGCACGGGGUCUCAGAAGCCUGGGAGGAGCGAGUCCUUGCACCCCGUUCCUUCCAAGGACGACAGGCUUGAGAAAGAGUCCAAGUGUGUCUCAGAGGGCAGCACGGUUGUUCGUUUGACAUCUUUUACUGACAUCUCUGAGUGUCUGAAGCCCCAGCUUGACAGAAAGUACACUUAUACAGAAGAGCUCAAUGUUAAAACUACAUCCGAUGUUGGAGCCUUGGGAGGAUUUGACAUGGAAAACUUGUUACAGUCUUUGUAUGUUGAAAACAGAGCUGGAUUCUUCUUCACUAAAUUUUGCGAAGAUUCAGGGAACAAGCUGUGGAAGCACAGUGUGUACUUUUGGUUUGACCUACAGGCUUAUCAUCAGCUGUUCUACCAAGACACACUUCAGCCUUUCAAAGUGUGCAAGCAAGCCCAAUAUCUUUUCGCCACUUACAUUGCUCCAUCAGCCACUCUCGACAUUGGGCUGCAACAGGAAGAGAAGAAAGACAUUUACACGAGAAUCCAGCCACCGUUUGAGGACCUCUUUGAUACGGCCGAGGAGUACAUCCUCCUCGUCCUUCUGGAGCCCUGGACACAGAUGGUGAUGUCAGACCAAGUGGCUUACAGAAAGGUGACACUACAAAAAGAGACUCGGCAGCUAGAUUCCGCCUACUUCAGGAAGCUGCAUGCUCUGCAUAAGGAGACAAUCUCCAAGAAGGCCGAGGACACUGCUGGACCUGCGGCUGGCAAGCUGUCACUGUCUGACGUCUCUAAACAAACAGAGUACUGGAGCAACGUCCCUGAGGAAUACCAGCAUUUCACCUUCAGUGAUCUGCUCAACAACAAACUGGAAUUCGAACAUUUCCGCCAGUUUCUAGAAUCUCAUUCUUCAAGCAUCGACCUUGCGUGUUGGACAGACAUCGAACAGUUCCGAAGAAUGCUUUUUAAGGACCAGAAGCAAAGGGAGGCAAAGUCUAUAGACAUUAAAAACAAAUACCUUAAUAAGAAGUAUUUCUUUGGCCCCAGCAGCCCAGCUUCUUUGCAUCAGCAGGACCAGAUAAUGCUCAUGAGUGGCGGCUGGGGGAGGAUCCUUCACGAGCAGCUUGACCCAUCUGUGCUGGUGGAAAUCCAGAAACAUGUCUUGAACAGGCUGGAAAAUGUGUGGCUGCCACUGUUCCUCUCAAGCGAACAGUUUGCAUCCCGUCAGAAGAUAAAGAUACGGAUGAAAGACAUAGCGGAUGAGCUUUUACUGCAGAGGCAUGACAGGAAAAUUGGAGUGUGGAAGCCUGUGGCAAGUAAGUGGAUAUCUUCAUCCUGUGAGAUUAUUGCUUUCCGUAAAGCAUUAUUGAAUCCAGUCAUUGCAAGGCAAUUUCAACGAUUUGUGGCCCUGAAAGGAGAUUUAUUGGAAAAUGGAGUACUUUUUUGGCAAGAAGUACAAAAGUUUAAGGAUUUGUGCCAUUCGCAUUGUAGUGAGUCCAUCAUUCAGAAGAAGAUCACGACCAUCAUCAACUGCUUCAUCAACUCCUGUAUCCCCCCAGCUCUGCAGAUUGAUAUUCCAGUCGAGCAGGCCCAGAAGAUAAUUGAACACAGGAAGGAAAUGGGACUGUACGUGUUCCGAGAGGCACAGAUGACAAUUUUUGGGGUUCUGUUUAAGUAUUGGCCACAGUUUUGUGAGUUUAGGAAGAAUUUAACAGAUGAAAAAAUUAUGAGUGUUUUAGAGAGAAGACAAGAACAUAAACAGAAAAAGAAAAUGUCAGAGUCAGAUGAAGACAAGAUCGGAAAGGCUGGACUCAAGCAGUAUGCAAGUACUACAGGCUCUCUAACCAAAGCACCUUUACCCAGCGAGUCCCUGCUGGGCCUGCAAGCCUAUGGCCGGCAGCCAACCUGGUGCUAUUCAAAGUACAUAGAAGCCUUGGAACAAGAGCGGAUUCUUCUGAAAAUUCAAGAAGAAAUGGAAAAGAAAAUGUUCACAGGUACAUCAUCUUUCACAAACUUGUUUAAGCUUCCCACUGGUUCCACUAUGUCUCUGAAGAAGAACUUGUCUCUCCUCAGCGUCCAGAGUCAGUUCCCAGUGAUCGUCUCUCCUCAGCUCCUGCUCUCUUUCUGCUUCCCUAACCGUCCAGAACCAGAGGCACUGCCUCUCCCAUGCUCAGUCUCUCUGUGUCUCUAGGGUUUCUCCUCUGCAGAGGAGGAGCCUCCACAACCCAUACCGAACACUUCUGUUUUCCAGGGUAGCAAUGUUCAAGCUCACGUUCACAUCCUGCUGCUGAGAGGUGCGAGGGUUUCUUUAAGCCAACUUUAACUAACACUGAAUGUCCACGAAGCUGAAUAUCCAAGGUUUUGGGUAGUCUGCAUGACUAUAGAAUACUAUCUGCUAUCUAGACUAGAAGAAUUAAAAUCGUUUGCCUAUCAUAGGCCUUAAGGAAAAAGCAGCAUUAUGCCCCUUGUGCAAUCUUUCAACAAAUGUUCCUUGCAGGCUCCUCUAGUUAGCAGAUGUGCUCACUGGGUGCCAGGGGUGUGACUGUUCCUAGCAUAAUUAACCCAGCGAAAGAAGAGCCUCCCCCUCCUUUCCCAUCUGGGAGGAGACUGUGUGGAAGCGGUGGUUUUUACAGCGCAGUGUGCACAAGACUCACAUGACAUAGGCUAGCAUUUCGGGCUCCAGGGGCUGCUCCCUGCAAACUCAUGGGAGACACUCAUGGGAGACACUCUGGAACUGCUAUCUUUACCAGAUAACACAGUGCCCCUAAGUCCUCUCGUGGCCAUGGACUGGCCACUCUUUCACCAAGCUCCUGUGGUUUCUGCCCUUCUACUGCUUUUCCUUCAGUUGAGAUUUUGUUGGUUUGUUUGUUUUCCUGUGGUUCAUUUCUCUGUCCCCUCAACAUGUUAAUUAUAAUUCUUUUGAAAGUUCUGUUUUUCCCAGAGUCUUUGAUGUUCAUUAAAGCAAUGAAAGCCCACUUUCUGAGCAGACUUCCUAGGUAGUACAAAUACUGUAGGAUAUGAAGAAAAUUAAGAUAAAAAAUUAAAUCCAUACUCCUUAUUUUCACUUACUUCUUCCCUGAUGUUUCAUUCUUUCUAUAUGCAGAUAGAGUUUCUAGCCUAUAGUUUUUCUUCUCUUAAAAGAAGUUAUUUUGACAUUUCUUGCAAAGCAGCUCUAUUUGAGACCUAGAGAAACUUUCAUUUCUCUUUCCCUUUUGACAGAAACUUUACAGGAUACAAAAGUAUAGGCUGGUAGGUUUUUUAUUCGUUCAGUACCUAAAAUAUAUCACUUCUCUUUCUUCUUUUGUAAUUUUUCUGAAGAAAAGUUGGAUGUUAUCCUUGCCCCUCUGUGGAGAAGUUGCUCUGUCCUCCUCCUUGCUUCAAGAUCUCUGUGCCAGGGCCUGAGGAGCCCACUCAGGUUAAGAGCAUAUACCCAGCUGCACAUCCGUCCUAGGUGCUGGUCUCUAAGCCUCUUGUGUCUGUAGCUUGGCAUCUGUCACUAGUUUUUUGGAAAGAUUUGCUGUUAUCACUGUCCAACGUUGCUUCCAUUCCUGUCUCUGCUUUCUGCCCUUCCCAUCCCACGCACAGCCGCCUCCUCUCCAGUCCUCCUCCUCCUCCUCCUCC